GACAGAGGGUGCAAACGUUGUUCGGAAUUACUGGGCGUAAAGCGCGUGUAGGCAGCUUCGCAAGUCGGAUGUGAAAGCCCUGGGCUCAACCUAGGAAGUGCACUCGAAACUGCGGAGCUUGAGUCUCGGAGAGGAUCGCGGAAUUCUCGGUGUAGAGGUGAAAUUCGUAGAUAUCGAGAGGAACACCGGUGGCGAAGGCGGCGAUCUGGACGAUGACUGACGCUGAGACGCGAAAGCGUGGGGAGCAAACAGG
rnacentral:rRNA from 1 species